CGAACGCUGGCGGCAGGCCUAACACAUGCAAGUCGAACGAAGUCUUCGGACUUAGUGGCGCACGGGUGAGUACCACGUGGGAAUAUACCUUACGCUGGGGGAUAACAUCGGGAAACUGAUGCUAAUACCGCAUACGCCCUUCGGGGGAAAGAUUUAUCGGCGAAAGAUUAGCCCGCGUCCGAUUAGCUAGUUGGUGAGGUAAUGGCUCACCAAGGCUCCGAUCGGUAGCUGGUCUGAGAGGAUGACCAGCCACACUGGGACUGAGACACGGCCCAGACUCCUACGGGAGGCAGCAGUGGGGAAUAUUGGACAAUGGGCGCAAGCCUGAUCCAGCCAUGCCGCGUGAGUGAUGAAGGCCUUAGGGUUGUAAAGCUCUUUCACCCACGACGAUGAUGACGGUAGUGGGAGAAGAAGCCCCGGCUAACUUCGUG
rnacentral:rRNA from 1 species